UACGUAGGGGGCGAGCGUUGUCCGGAAUUAUUGGGCGUAAAGAGCUCGUAGGCGGUCUGUCGCGUCGGCUGUGAAAUCCCGAGGCUCAACCUCGGGUCUGCAGUCGAUACGGGCAAACUGGAGUGUUGCAGGGGAGACUGGAAUUCCUGGUGUAGCGGUGAAAUGCGCAGAUAUCAGGAGGAACACCGGUGGCGAAGGCGGGUCUCUGGGCAACAACUGACGCUGAGGAGCGAAAGCGUGGGGAGCGAACAGG
rnacentral:rRNA from 1 species